AGAGUUGAUCCUGGCUCAGGACGAACGCUGGCGGCGUGCCUAACACAUGCAAGUCGAACGGGGAUUUGUUUCGGCAGAAUCCUAGUGGCGAACGGGUGAGUAACGCGUAGGCAACCUGCCCUCCGGCCGGGGACAACACUCCGAAAGGGGUGCUAAUACCGGAUACGAAGUCUGUGCCGCAUGGUGCGGAUUUGAAAGAUGGCCUCUAUUUAUAAGCUAUCGCCGGGGGAUGGGCCUGCGUCCGAUUAGCUGGUUGGUGGGGUAACGGCCUACCAAGGCGACGAUCGGUAGCCGGUCUGAGAGGAUGAACGGCCACAUUGGGACUGAGACACGGCCCAGACUCCUACGGGAGGCAGCAGUGGGGAAUCUUCCGCAAUGGGCGCAAGCCUGACGGAGCAACGCCGCGUGAGUGAGGAAGUUCUUCGGAACGUAAAGCUCUGUUGUUCCUGACGAACCUCCCUUCUAUGAACAACGGAGGGGACUGACGGUAGGGAACGAGGAAGCCACGGCUAACUACGUGCCAGCAGCCGC
rnacentral:rRNA from 1 species